AUGGACAAACUUUACUCCAUUCCCCUGCUGCUGAUUGUCCCUCCUUGGGUUUUUUCCCAGGUCAAAUUGAAGGAGCCUGGUUCUGGUCUGGUGAAACCUGCCCAGAACCUUACACUGACCUGUACCAUUUCUGGGUUCUCAAUCAGCACUUCUGGAAUAGUUGUCUCCUGGAUCCAUCAGCCUCCAAGGAAGGCAAAGGAGUGGCUUGCAAUCAUAUAUUGGGAUGAUGAUAAGAGUUAUGAGGCAUCUCUGAAAAGCUGGCUUACAAUCUCCAAGGACAAUGACAGAAAUCAGGUGUUUCUAGCAAUGACCAACAUGAAUCCUGUAGACACAGCCAUGUACUACUGUGCAAGGAGAGCACAGAGGCACAGUACAUUGGGACUUUUGUACAAAAACAUGUGCAGGUUCUCAGCUGUGCCUACAUCUCUAGAGAAAAGGAGAGUUCAGUGA